rnacentral:misc_RNA from 1 species
GGAUGAAGAACGCAGCGAAAUGCGAUAAGUAAUGUGAAUUGCAGAAUUCAGUGAAUCAUCGAAUCUUUGAACGCACCUUGCACUCCUUGGUAUUCCGAGGAGUACGCCUGUUCGAGUGUUAUGAAGCUCUCAAAACGCAAUUGGCUUAAAACCUGAUUGUUGUUUUGGAUUUGAACUUUGCCGUGUUACAACGGCUGGUUUUAAAAGCAUUAGCUGGUACUAGAACGAAUUGGUUCUACUCAACGUGAUAAUUAUCUGAUCGUUGAGGACAUUCCUUUCACGAGGAAUGGCCAUAGUAAAUUCAAUGGACUGCUUCUAACUUGGCUUUAAUUCUGAAUUGGAUUAACCACUUUUCAAAUCUGACCUCGAAUCAGGUGGGACUACCCGCUGAACUUAAGCAUAUCAAUAAGCGGAGGA